AUUGAACGCUGGCGGCAUGCCUUACACAUGCAAGUCGAACGGUAACAGGUCUUCGGAUGCUGACGAGUGGCGAACGGGUGAGUAAUACAUCGGAACGUGCCCGAUCGUGGGGGAUAACGCAGCGAAAGCUGUGCUAAUACCGCAUACGAUCUACGGAUGAAAGCGGGGGACUCGCAAGGGCCUCGUGCGGACGGAGCGGCCGAUGGCAGAUUAGGUAGUUGGUGGGAUAAAAGCUUACCAAGCCGACGAUCUGUAGCUGGUCUGAGAGGACGACCAGCCACACUGGGACUGAGACACGGCCCAGACUCCUACGGGAGGCAGCAGUGGGGAAUUUUGGACAAUGGGCGCAAGCCUGAUCCAGCCAUGCCGCGUGCAGGAUGAAGGCCUUCGGUUGUAACUAGCUUUGUUACGGAACGAAAAAGACCUCUCUAAUAAAGGGGUAGAAGUGAGGUACCGUAAGAAUAAAGACACCGGCUAACUACGUAGCCAGCAGCCGACC
rnacentral:rRNA from 1 species